AUGGCGUCGGCGUGCCCCCGCCCCAUCUUCCUCUCCUUCCCCAAAUCCCCGUCCCCGCCGCUCGCCGUCCCCGGAAAGCACCACCCGUCCGCCACCGCCACCGCCUCCCUCUCCCUCUCCACCCGCGCGCGCGCCGCCCCUUCCAGCGCUCCGUCCCCUUCGCCGCCGCCGUCUCCUCCCGCGGACGGAGUCGGCCCCGCGGCGCCGACGCGGGGCGACGUGUACCUGGGGCGGCAGCUCGCGGCCGCGGCCACGGCGGGCGCCCGCGCGCGCGCGCCGGAGGAGGACGCCGAGAGGCGCCGCCGCCGCAAGGAGAAGCGGAAGGCGCUGGCCAAGAAGACGCCCUCCGGCGUCGCCUGCUGCUACGGCUGCGGCGCCCCGCUGCACACCGGCGAGGAGGGCUCCCCCGGCCACGUCGAGCCCGCCACCUACGACCUGAAGAAGAGGCACAACCAACUAAAAACCGUGCUAUGCGGGCGGUGCAAGCUGCUGUCGCACGGGCACAUGGUGACCGCCGUCGGCGGCCAUGGCGGUUAUCCGGGGGGCAAGCAGUUUGUUUCGGCCGAAGAGCUAAGGGAGAAGCUGUCGUACCUCCGCCACGAGAAAGCAUUGAUAGUGAAACUCGUUGACAUAGUUGACUUCAAUGGAAGUUUCCUGGCACGCAUACGCGAUUUUGCCGGCGCCAAUCCCAUUGUGCUUGUGAUAACAAAGGUUGAUCUCCUUCCUAGAGACACAGAUUUGAAUUGUAUCGGCGAUUGGGUCGUGGAGUCUGUUGUUAGGAAGAAACUCAAUGUCCUUAGCGUCCAUUUGACAAGUUCAAAGUCAUUGGUCGGCAUCACUGGUGUUAUAUCAGAGAUUCAGCAGGAAAAGAAGGCCCGAGAUGUAUAUAUACUGGGUUCAGCAAAUGUUGGGAAAUCUGCAUUUAUUAGUGCUAUGCUAAAAACAAUGGCAUAUAAAGAUCCAGUGGCAGCUGCAGCUCAAAAAUACAAGCCAAUACAAUCUGCUGUUCCUGGAACAACCUUAGGUCCUAUUCAGAUCGAAGCAUUUUUAGGAGGAGGGAAAUUAUACGACACACCUGGAGUCCAUCUUCACCAUAGACAGGCAGCAGUUAUCCACGCUGAUGAUCUGCCUUCUCUUGCACCACAAAGUCGACUAAAGGGGCGAUGUUUUCCUGCUAAUGAUACAGAUGUUGGAUUGAGCGGGAAUACGUUGUUCUGGGGGGGACUUGUCCGUAUCGAUGUUGUUAAGGCUCUUCCACGCACACGGCUAACAUUCUAUGGACCAAAGAAGCUAGGUAUUAAUAUGGUCCCCACCACAGAAGCAGAUGAAUUUUACAAGAGAGAAGUCGGAGUUACAUUGACUCCCCCAACUGGUCAGGAGAGAGCUGAAGGAUGGUGUGGGCUUCAGGGUGUUCGCGAAUUGCAGAUAAAAUAUGAAGAGCUUGAUAGGCCUGCUAGUGACAUUGCGAUAUCUGGACUCGGGUGGAUCGCGGUUGAACCACUUGGUGUGCCAUCUAGCGACCCUGAUAGUAGCAUCGAGGAAGAAAAUGGUGGCAGUGGCGAGUUGCAUUUAAGAGUACGUGUACCCAAACCAGUCGAGGUCUUCGUCCGCGCCCCACUGCCAGUCGGUAAAGCGGCGUCGCAGUGGUACCGGUACCAGGAGCUGACGGAGGUAGAAGAGGAGCUGAGACCCAAGUGGCAUUACUGA
rnacentral:rRNA from 1 species